UAGGGAAUCUUCGGCAAUGGACGAAAGUCUGACCGAGCAACGCCGCGUGAGUGAAGAAGGUUUUCGGAUCGUAAAACUCUGUUGUUAGAGAAGAACAAGGACGUUAGUAACUGAACGUCCCCUGACGGUAUCUAACCAGAAAGCCACGGCUAACUACGUGCCAGCAGCCGCGGUAAUACGUAGGUGGCAAGCGUUGUCCGGGUUUAUUGGGCGUAAAGCGAGCGCAGGCGGUUUCUUAAGUCUGAUGUGAAAGCCCCCGGCUCAACCGGGGAGGGUCAUUGGAAACUGGGAGACUUGAGUGCAGAAGAGGAGAGUGGAAUUCCAUGUGUAGCGGUGAAAUGCGUAGAUAUAUGGAGGAACACCAGUGGCGAAGGCGGCUCUCUGGUCUGUAACUGACGCUGAGGCUCGAAAGCGUGGGGAGCAAACAGG
rnacentral:rRNA from 1 species